GACAGAGGGUGCAAACGUUGUCCGGAAUUAUUGGGCGUAAAGAGCUCGUAGGCGGCUUGUCACGUCGGGUGUGAAAGACCGGGGCUUAACUCCGGUUCUGCAUUCGAUACGGGCUAGCUAGAGUGUGGUAGGGGAGAUCGGAAUUCCUGGUGUAGCGGUGAAAUGCGCAGAUAUCAGGAGGAACACCGGUGGCGAAGGCGGUUCUCUGGGCCUUACCUGACGCUGAGGAGCGAAAGCGUGGGGAGCAAACAGG
rnacentral:rRNA from 1 species